GACGAACGCUGGCGGCGUGCCUAAUACAUGCAAGUCGAGCGAACCAAUAAGAAGCUUGCUUUUUGUUGGUUAGCGGCGGACGGGUGAGUAACACGUGGGUAACCUGCCUGUAAGACCGGGAUAACUCGCGGAAACGUGAGCUAAUACUUGAUAGUUUAUCUUUCUGCCUGGAGAGAUAAGGAAAGAUGGCUUUUGUCAUCACUUAUAGAUGGGCCCGCGGCGCAUUAGCUAGUUGGUGAGGUAACGGCUCACCAAGGCAACGAUGCGUAGCCGACCUGAGAGGGUGAUCGGCCACACUGGGACUGAGACACGGCCCAGACUCCUACGGGUGGCAG
rnacentral:rRNA from 1 species